AACUGGAGCUGCAGCUGAGGCCUAUGCCACAGCCACAGCCUCACCGCAUCCAAGCUAUCCAAGCUUCAUCUGCAACCUACGCUGGAACGGGAAGAACAAGGAGGAUUCAAAUAAGAACACAGCACCAAUGAAUAAGAUUUCCUAUUUGCUUCGUUUCUCAGACCAGAAGAUCCAAAACAUGGUGCUCUUUCCUAAAAUCCCAACACUGAACUUCAGAGUACUUCUGGAGAGACAUAUAAUUCACUUAAAUGUAUCUUCUUCAAAGGCUUUCUCUGAUAUUUAUUGUCCAUAUUAUUCUUAAAAUAUCUUAUUUUUUUAAAAGUAGGGGAAAACGGGGGUUAUUAAAAUUAAUAAUAGGUAAACUAUUUUAAUAAAUAAGAGAAAGGAGGCUAAUCUGCCUUAUAGAAUUGCAGAUAACAUACAUAAACAGACACCUCCUCAUCCCAGGACAUGGGAACUUGACUCAAUACAAGGCAAACACUACAGCAACCAAGUGAAGAAGGUUAGCAUCACCAACGAUGUUUUGUGGGUAUUAUGUUGCCUCCAACAUUCUAUGAUGUGAUGAGAAAUGCAUUUCAUCUCUGUGGUAUUUUUUUCUAAAAACUGAUAAUCCAUCUAUAAUCAUGAAAAAAAAUCAGACAAACCCAUUUUGGGGGACACUUUAUAGGAUACAUAACCAGAACUCAAGACAGUCAAGGUUAUGAAUAAUGAGGAAAGACGGAGAAACUAUCAUAGACCAGAGGAGACUGGGGAGACAUGACAACCAAAUACGAUGUGGCACCCGGGAUUAAAUCUGGAACAGAAAGAGGCCAUUAAUGGGAAAACCAGUGAAAUCCAAAAAAAAGCCUGGAAUUUAGCUAAUAGUAAAUACCAAGACUGACAAAUGUACUAAGGAAACGUAAGACGUUAACAAUAGGGGGAAAUGGGUGCAGGGUGUAGAUAUACAAGAAUUCUCUGCACAAUCUUUCCAACUCACCUACAAAUCUAAAAUUAGUCCAAAAUAAAAAAUUUAAAAGGAAAAGCAGCAAAAUGUGGGGUCAUUUAAAUUAAUAUUGAAAAAUACAAACAAAACCUUUCUGUUUGUUAAAAUAAAGAUUUUCCUACUGUGGCACUGCUGGUUCUCUGCAGCACCAGGACGCAGGUUCCAUUGUGAGCCAUGAUCCCCGGCAAAGUGGGUUAAAGGAUAUGGCGUUGCCACAGCUGUGGCGUAGGUCACAACUGCAGCUCGGAUCUGAUCCCUGACCUAGGAACUCCAUAUGCCUUGGGGUGGCCAAAAAACGAAAAAUAAAUGUGCUUUGCAGCUUAAAUAAAGUGCUUAUUAGUAAUAUAAUUUUAUAUUGAAAAGCUAAAAUUUUCCAUUCGGCAUUGAUUUACAUAGCACUUCUUGCCUACCAGAAGACUUUGAAGACAUCACUAGGUUCAGAUACAUUUAAUGGAUAUCAAAGAGGAAAGACUCCCCAAUACUAAUUCUUAAGAAAUACACUUAAAACUAGAAGAGCUAUAUUAAUAUAUUAAUUGCUUAUUUGUAUGAUUAAAUCCUGUUAAUUCUUCCUUUAAAAAUGUCUAAUAAUAAAAAAACACCUACUGAAGGGUUUACAGACCUUUCAUCAUUCAAUAAUACUCAAUAAUAGCAACCACCCUGUAAGUUAGAUACUGUCAAUAUUAUCUAUCCAUAGAUACAGAAACCAAAGCUACUGCUCGAGGCUCACAGUUGAUAAAUUGUGGAGUUAGGAUUAGAAUCUGAAUUAUUCAUUUUUGGUUUUAGUCAACAGCUUCAUUGAAUCCUCUCUGAUUAUGGUAAAUGUAUACACUUUUUCCUCAUCCUUAAAAAAUAAGUUAAUCAGGCGUUCCCAUUGUGACUCAGUGAUAACAAACCCAACUAGUAUUAUGAGGACAUGGGUUCGAUCCCUGGCCUUGCUCAGUGGGUUAAGGAUCCAGCAUUGCUGUGAGCUGUGGUAUAAAUCGCAGACGUGGCUUAGAUUCCAUGUUGCUGUGGCUGUGGUGCAGACUGGCAGCUGUAGCUCUGAUUUGACCCCUAGCCUGUGAACUUCCAUAUGCCGUGGGUAUGGCCCUAAAAAGCAAAAAAAGAAAGAAAGAAAGAACAAGAAAUAUGUUAACAAAACCCUCAAAUAAUCCAUACAAUUGGAGUUCCCAGGCAACAGGAUCAGCAGCAUUCUGGGAGUGCUGGGAUGCAGGUUCAAUCCCAGCACAGCACAGUGUGUUAAGGACCCGGCUUUGCAGCAGCUUAGGUCACAACUACAGACUGGAUCUGAUCCCUGGCCCAGAAACUCCAUAUGCCUAAGGGUGGCCAAAAUGGAAAAAGAAAAAAUAAUAAUAACUCUACCCUCACCUUCCCUUCUUUUGCAGUCAGCAUAUUUUUGAUAAAAUAUAAACAAACAUGGGCGUUCCCUUCUAGCGCAGCAGGUUAAGUAUCCAGUGUUGUCACUGCAGUAGCUCAGGUUACUGUGUGGUGCAGGUUCAAUCCCUGGCCAGAGAACUUCCACAUGCCAUAGGUGUGGAAAAAAAUAUAUGGAACAAAAGAUAAACACAGAUAAAAUAUAUGCCUUAUGCAUACAAAAUAUUAUCAUAAAACAUACCCUUUUAUCUCUGCCAUAGAUUAAAAGUGGCUCAGCAAUGUGCAAAUCCUUAAUAACAUAAACUUUCAAAAAUUAAACUCCCUAAAAAUGUCCCAGAUUUGUGUGUGUGUGUGUGUGUGUGUGUGUGUGUCUUUUCUAGGGCUGCUCCCGUGGCAUAUGGAGGUUCCCAGGCUAGGGGUCGAAUCGGAGCUGUUGCCACCGGCCUAUGCCAGAGCCACAGCAACCCCAGAUCCAAGCCACGUCUUGGACCUACACCACAGCUCACGGCAACGCCGGAUCCUUAAUCCACUGAGCGAGGCCAGGGAUCGAACCUGCAACCUGAUGGUUCCCAGUCAGAUUCAUUAACCACUGCGCCACGACGGGAACUCCUCAAAUUGUUAAUUUCACUGACAGUCUCUCGGAAAGUUUCUUAACAGCCUCAGUUAACUGUCAAUAAUUCCUGUCAUCACAUAAGAGCUCAAGGAGCAGAUAAUCAAAAUGCAAAUGCAUUUCACUUAUAGAUUAUAGAGUUUUGUGGCCCUGAUACAACUAUGUUAGAAGUGUGAUCCUAUUCCAGAACAUAAAAUUUCUUGUAAAGUAAGAACAUUUUUCUCUCCUUCACCUUAAUUCCCAAGCAGUCAUUACAAAGAACCAUAGCCAUUACAAAGAACCAUAAAAUAGAAUAUUUCUUUUCACAUAAUCCCAUCAAAUGCAAGUAUGUAUUUACUAAUUAAUACUUCUUUUCUGUACUUAUUUAAAUGUUAAACACUAAUAUUUACUUAUUAAUACUACUUGUAUACAUGCAGCAGGUACUUAUUUACUUAUUAAUACCACUAUAAAGCAGUAUUAGACAUUUUCUGGAAGUCCCUACUCAAACGACUUACGCAAGCAAAAUAGUUAACAGCACAUGUUAAUAAAUAAAUGAUGCAGGCAAUAAAUGCCACCAGUUUUCACCACCUUAGAAAAGAAAUUAACGUAAGAAUACUUAUGAAAAAGAGUCCAUUUUGUCCAAAGAAAAUGGAAUGUUUACUCCAUCAUGCAAGGUAAUAACCAAGUGGUUCAGUGACUACAACAUUUACCUCAUUCUAGCUACUAAUCUAACAUGUGACCUUGGAAAAAGAAAUUCUCUGAAUUUUAUUUCUCUCAUCCAUAAAAAUACCAUUCUAUAUCAAAAAGCUUGGCAAAACAAAUGAAAUACACAUUCUAUAUUUUUACAAAGUUCUAGGGGAUAUUUACAACAAUGUUAAAUGACAAUAACUUCAGAGGAUACUUUUCCAGAAGUGUCCUUGACAAAUGCACAGAUCAAUCCCAACUAGGUAAGUUU
rnacentral:lncRNA from 1 species